UGAUAGCUCAGUAGGAUAGAGCAUCUGCCUUCUAAGCAGAGGGUCGGGGGUUCGAAUCCCUUUC
rnacentral:tRNA from 1 species